rnacentral:lncRNA from 1 species
AGUUGCAGUAAUCUCGGGAAAAUAUGACACCUGCAAGAACAUUCAUCAGCUUACAAAAAGUGUGAUAAUCAAGUAGUCUAGUUGAUUUCUCAUUCAUUUGGUUCGACUUCUUCAUGUUACCAAGUUCAAGGCAGAGAUAGUUUAUCCAAUAUAGCAAUUGUCGUGCAUAACUUCACAAUUUUGUGUUUGCCUGUCAAAUAGAUAGGUGAACCAUAAAUAAAACUGCACAAUUGUAAUUCUAUCAAUUGUUUCUUUUUGGCUAAUUUCUAUUCUCUGAUGCAGCUAAUAUGUCAUGUGUCUUCAAGUCUUCAUGUUAAGGGCCGAAAAGCGUAGAUCACACAGCACUGGGGAGGGUAGAAUCCCCUAGCACUCGGAAGACUAAAGGUGUUGGGAUUUGGGAACAUCUGCAAUUCAUCAUGAACUCCUACAUGGAAGGCCUUUAUUGAGUGACUACAGGAAACAGAUGGGCAAAUCGUGCUACGUAUAAGGUGCAGUUAGUCACAAGUCUGGCGAAAUCUAGGACCGUGAUGGGACACCGAAUAGGAAAAUAAUCAGUGGACUCUUGGUCUCCUAGAUGAAUUUUCUAGCACUUCGUUGCCAAUUGCCAUGUCUGUUUCUGUUUUAUAUAUUUUCUAAUACAG